rnacentral:misc_RNA from 1 species
GAUGAAGAACGUAGCGAAAUGCGAUAAGUAAUGUGAAUUGCAGAAUUCAGUGAAUCAUCGAAUCUUUGAACGCACAUUGCGCCCGCCAGUAUUCUGGCGGGCAUGCCUGUUCGAGCGUCAUUUCAACCAUCAAGCCCCAGGCUUGUGUUGGGGACCUGCGGCUGCCGCAGGCCCUGAAAACCAGUGGUGGGCUCGCUGUCACACCGGGCGUAGUAGAUUUUAUCUCGCUCAGGGCGUGCUGCGGGUUCCGGCCGUUAAAAAGCCUUUUUUACCCAAGGUUGACCUCGGAUCAGGUAGGAAGACCCGCUGAACUUAAGCAUAUCAAUAAGCGGAGGA